CCUACGGGAGGCAGCAGCAGGGAAUUUUUCGCAAUGGGGGAAACCCUGACGAAGCGAUACUACGUGAAGGAAGAAGGUCUAUGAUUGUAAACUUCUGUCAGCGCAGAAGCCAUGCGCUUAGAAAGUCACGACUAACUACGUGCCAGCAGUCGCGGCAAUACGUAGGUGGCGAAUGUUAUCCGGAAUUAUUGGGCGUAAAGAAUGCGUAGAUUGUUUAAUAAGUCAUUGGUAGAAGUCAGGCUCAACCUGAAAGAAGCUGGUGAUACUGUUAGACUAGAGUGCAGGAGAGGUUGAUGGAAUUCCAUGUGGAGCGGUGAAAUGCUUAGAUAUAUGGAGGAACACCAAUAGCGAAGGCAGUCAACUAUUCUGAACUGACAUUGAAGCAUGAAAGCGUGGGGAGCAAAAAGGAUUAGAUACCCUUGUAGUC
rnacentral:rRNA from 1 species